rnacentral:SRP_RNA from 1 species
UGGCACCGUGGCGCGCGCCUGUGGUCCCCGCUACUUGGGCGACAGAGGUUGAGGAUGCUCGAGCUCGGGAGCUCUGGGCUGUAAUGUGCUCUGCCGAUCGGCGUCCGCCUAAGUUCGGUGUCAAUACGGACCUCCCAGGAGCAGGGCCAGCCGGGUGCCAAAGUGGGGUGACCCAGCCCAGCUCGAAACGCAGCAGGUCGGAACUCCAGUGCUGUCAGUAGUGGGAUCGCGCCAGUGAAGAGCCACGGCCCUCCAGCCUCCAGCGAGACCUCGUCUCUUU